CUUUGAAGACUCUCUGCAGAUGCCUUAGGAGCUGGCUGAGAAAAAGCAGCAGGAAGGAGAAGAAGCUGCUUGCCUUGACUACGGUGGACCAGUGAAACUCCCUACACCCCAGGGGCUGCUGGCACGACUCCUGGUAGUAGCCUCGUCCCCUUAUGCAGGAGAAGGACACGGAUGUGCUGCCUUGCAGUUACUACAGGCCCUGCACCAAAAUAUCCAUGUAGCAGUGGGUGAGAUGUGGGGAGUAAAGAUCCCAUCUCUGCUGCAGUACAUUGAAGGAAACACAGAGAAUUCCCUGGACCACGUGCAGUGGGAGCACAUGCUGCUUCAGGUACAAGAUGGCUUUCAGCUGUAUUGUCACAGCCCUCCCUCCCCCCUCCAAAUGUAUCAGCUGGGGAAAAUAUUAAUGAUAAACUAUUCGUUCU